rnacentral:misc_RNA from 1 species
UACGAAAUCUUGUAAAUAUGACACUGG